CGAGCAGCACAGACGGUCGCGUUGACCUUGCGGUCAAUGAGGAAAGUCCGGGCUUCACAGGGCAGGGUGCCGGAUAACGUCCGGUGGAGGUGACUCCAAGACUAGUGCAACAGAAAAGAAACAGCAGGCGACCCGGAAACGAGUCGUUCGCAGGCGACCGGGUGCGUUUCCGAUGGAACGCGACCCGGAAAUGAGCCUGCAGCGGAAUUUCCAUCUGGAAAUUCCGCUUGUGAUGGUGGAAUGGCGGGGUAAGAGCCCACCGCCCGGCUGGUAACAGACGGGGCUGUGUAAACUCCACCCGAAGCAAGACCGAACAGGAAGCGAUACGGCGGCCCGUCGUGCUUCCGGGUUGGUCGCGUUCUGUCCGGGGAACCGGGCAGAGGAGCUGUGCGGUAACGUACAGUCAAGAAAGAUGAUCGUCUAAUACAGAACCCGGCUUAUAGUGCUGCUCAAAAU
rnacentral:RNase_P_RNA from 1 species